rnacentral:rRNA from 1 species
GAUGAACGCUGGCGGCGUGCUUAACACAUGCAAGUCGAACGGACAGGCCCUGCUCUUGUGGGGUGCUCGAUUGGCGCACGGGUGAGUAACACGCGAGUAACCCGCCCUUGUCUUUGGGAUAACUUUAGGAAACUGGGGCUCAAAUAGGGUAGGAGCUCCUGCAGCAUGGUGUGGGUUGGAAAGUUUCGGCGGUUGGGGAUGGACUCGCGGGUUAUCCGCUAGUUGGUGGGGUAGUGGCUUACCAAGGCUUUGACGGGUAGCCGGCCUGAGAGGGUGACCGGGCACAUUAGGACUACGGUACGGACCAGAAUGGUACGGUAGGCAGCAGGCGAGAGUAUGGCGGAGUGAGGGGAAGCGAGAGACAGAGACGCCGGGUGCGGAAUAACGGGCUACGGGUGAUGAACAGAUGUCGAAGGUAAUGAAGCGGGAGUGACGGUAAUGGAUAAGAAAGCAACGGCUAACUACGUG